CCGCAGGGAGGUCAUUGUGACCCAGGCUUCCCCUGUGGACACAAGGCAUGGGAAGGAAGAUCUGUCUGAUAAUCCUGCAUGCCUAGUCUGAUAGAGACAACUUUCUAGUGAGGUCUCCUAGGCAUUCACCUCUGUGUUAAUCUGUCCUGCAGCUGGGUUUGUCAUCCUAAAUUGUUUGUUGCAAAGUCUCGCCUUGUCACCCAGGCUAGAGUGAGUGCCCUGGCG